UGGAGGUGUUCCUUGCAUUAACAAUUAACACUUUCCUGGCUGCCCUUACCAAUUUCCUCUCUCUGCACACACCUCUUUAACAACAUGGAUUAUUUUGGGACUCCACCACCUCCCUUUGCAGGGAUAAACUCUUGGAAACCAACCGAAGUGUUCCUGUUCAGGGUCAGAAUGUUCUAGUUUGGUUUCCAGCAUCUUCCCUUUCCCAAGACACAGCCCAACACGUCAUCCAGGUGACAGGAGAGGUGCCAGCAGGACUUGGAAAGAGCAGCAACAACGUGGCACAGGCCUGAAAAGAAACUCCUCCCAAAGAACCCAACUCGGACUUUCCCUGAGCAAUCAAAUCCUGCCCGUGUUCUCUGACACCAGAGGGUGCCAGUGACUGGGAAACCACAGCCUUGGCAGCCCCUGCGGGAUUCCAGAGAUCUCUGGCUCCCAGUGACAGUGGGAUACACACGGAGGAUAAAACUGGCUUUUACUUUUAGCUCCCUCCUUGGAAGGAGAGAUAUUGCCCAUCGGCAAAGUUCAGCAGAGCUGGACACAAAGCCCCAGCACUAGCCCAGAGGGAUUUCAGGGAAACAGCCCCAUUUUCUAUGUGUUCCCACGGUGCGAGAUGGUGGGAAGGGAUCCACUUUUCAGAAGGCACAGCUUGCCUGUAGAGCAUCUCUCUGUGUUCUUAACCAACAUCCACACCAAGAGGCUUGUAAGGCCUUUUUCAGGAUCAUGGAGUCAUGGAAUCAUUUAAGUUGGAAAAGCCCUCUCAGACCGUGGGGUCCAACCAUUCUCCCAGCACUGUCAAGGCCAACUAACUCAUGUCCCCAAGCAAAGAGAAAAUUGAAAGGGCCAGUUUCUCACCUAAAAUAAAACUUUUCAACGUGAUUAAUCAGCUGAACAUUUGGUCUAAAAUCUUUUAGUUGACAGAGAAGAUAAAAAUAACUCAUUCUUUUCCAUUCACCUUUUUUCACCUGUCCCAGCAAUGGAAAUUUACCCCCUUUUUCUCCUGUCAGCCAUCUGGAAAGACCAAAGCCAGGCAACAACACCAAGCUGGAGCUUGUUCUGUCCUGCAUGAUAUCAACAUAUGUAUGACAUACGAAUUUCCCUGGCAUAACCAGCAGUGCAAUUCCCAGAUCAAGCCCUGGAUCAUAUCCCCACUGAAAGAGUAGCAAGGUUGCACAUUUGAAAUAAAGGGCACUGUUUGGUCUGGAAACCUUCUUUAAUUAUCAAUUAAUGUAAUCAGCUGAGUGUGCAGAAAGAGUCCAUCUGUCCUGGGGUAUGGACUUACUGGCUCUAAUGAAGCUGAAACUCUGGGAUGAGGUUUUGUUUCUCGGUUUAUUUCACAGAGUCCCUUCUGACAGCAAAGCUCCCCUUUGGUACUUCAACAAAUUCCUGAGCUCUGCUGGAAUGCCAGGCAGAAAUAACCUGUUCCACAGACAGUUUGGAGGGACAGGAGCUGAGAGAAAUGGCAGACAAGCAGGAUUGUAGGACUGAAGAGCCAGCCUUGAUGUGCUUGAGUGAGGCAUAUGUUAUAUAGGAAUUAGACUUUAUUCUCAGCUGGGUGACAUUUUCCCAGCUGCAGAAGUGUCACUGAUGAGGAGGAUUCGGUGCUUGGCAAACUCCCCAGAAGAAGAUAUUGCCAGGAAAGGCUGGUGACAAGUUAGGUCAGGACUGCAGUGCCCUGUGGAGCCCUGAAACUGAACUAAGGGCUGGUGCAAGUCAGGGGUGGGUUUGCAGAACUGCGUGUGGGCACCUUGUUUCCCUGCCCCUGACACAGAGAGUUCAGAACACGCCCCGAAAACCCUGAGGGCAUUUCUGCCACACACAGCUUGUGAACAAAACCUGUGCUCUGCAGCUUCUCCUUCAAUUCAGGCACUUAAACUGAGCUUACAGAAUCACAGACUGACGGAGUCAUUUAGGGUGGAAAAUCCCUCUAAAGCCAUUGAGUCCAACCAUUCCCCCAGCGCUGCCAAGGCCACCACUAACCCGUGUCCCCAAGUGCCACAUCCACAUGGCUGUUAAAUCCCUUCAGGGAUGGGGACUCCACCUCUGCCCUGGGCAGCUGUGCCAGGGCUGGACAGCCCUUCCCAGGAAGGAAUUUUCCCAGUAUCCAACCUAAACCUCUCCUGGCACAACUUGAGGCUGUUCCCUCUUGUCCUGCACUUGUUACUUGGGAGAAGGGACUGACCCCACCUCACGACCUUUGGCAGCCUGAAAUAGCUCCAUCAGCCUUUGGAAUUGUGGCUCCCCAGGAGCUGAUCCUUGUGCACAUCCCUCCUUGGGUACAGCAGAGGAAAGAUGGUUCAAGAAAAGAAAAUCAUAACAAACCCCAAGUCAUUUCAAACUGAAGAACAGCCCUUCCCAUGGAUGCUCCCCGUGCUCUGUCAGUGAUUCCCAGUGUGAUGGAUGGGGUUUGAUACACACAGUGACUGAGAGAAAUCCCUGUCUGUCAGAACAUCCACAGCCAACACCACAGCUCUGUUUACUGCCUUCCAAACUGCAAUCUACUCUUGGUUAAUUGGUAAACCCAGUAUUGCUCAGGCUGAUGGUUUCUGGUGAAGCACAGCUGAAGGCAUUAGAGGUGGCAGGUCAGCCUUGCACUGCUGGUGCAUAUUAAACUGUCACUGCCACACACUGCUGUAUUGCUGUGCUGCUUUUCUUCCUCUCUGCCUUUAAAUUGCUCUGCUUUGAGCCUUGCAGCCCAAAGCAAUUAAUAAAAUCCACAAACUUGUAUGUUAGAAAAUAAAGAUAUAACAGGAGAGUAUGAAAUAAUUCACACUAAAGGAAAUAUUAGAGUUACUGAAGGGGAUACUAGCUUUAGGAUUCUCAGGUCCAACAGCUGAUCUUGUGUCAGUCCUCUUUCCUCUUGCAUCUCUCAGACUUUCUAAUGUAGGUACUUAUUAUACUUACCUUUAUUGAACCUUAAUUCCUUCCCUUGAGCACGAGGUUGGACUAGGUGGCCUCCAGAGGUGUCUGCCAACCUUUUUUUGAUCUUUUUUUCCCCUGUGAUUCUAUUUUACAGCAGCAUGACUGACACAGAGACUGGAUGCCUCAUCCACUUAGAAAAUGAACAUGAAACACUGAGUGUAGAAGGUCAGAUGCCGCCACAAAAGAAAAGCUGAAGGUCUUGAAAAUGUGAUCAAGAUGGAAAUAACAGGAUGAUCUGUCUGAGCCUGAGAGAGCCUGGGAGUUGAAAACUUGGAGUUUCCACCUCUGGUGAUGGCCCAGACAGGAAAAUUGCCAUCAGUCAGAACCUGUGGCACCAGCUUUGUGCCACAGCUUUGUGGCAUUAAUUAAGAUUCCUCCAGGCCCAUUGUGAUUGUUUUGGUGCUCCCAGUGGUACCUUUACCUGUGAAAGCUGUGUCUGUGGCUGCUGACACACUGUGGGAUCCCUCAGGGGAUCAGGGGAUCCAGGUGUCCUAAAACACAGGUGAGAAGGACACCAUGAGGGUCUGUGUGUGGAUGUGAGAAGAUGGAGACACAGCUCUGCUAGUACCUGAACUAUGGCAGAGUGGAGACACAAACAUGACCAUCAGGUUAAAUGGGGUAAACAAAGGUAACUCUGGUUACUUUGGUUACUAGACUCCUUUAUUUCCUUAAGAGGUUGUAAAUAACUGACAAAGCUGCCUGGAAAAAAAAAAAAAAUUUGAGAUGCUAAUGUAUUUAUUUUAUUAUGCAGCCACUUCAGAAACCUUUCUGUGAAUUAAAAAUGGCCUAAGAAGGGAGAAAGGACUUCAACAUUUCCCAGAGCAAUGGUCUCAACAGAAGAAAUGGCAAUAGAAGUCUAUAUUACAUUGACAAUUUUUGUUUUCUAACACUCAUGGACUCUCAAUGAAAGGAGUGACAUCUGAAAUAUAUAAUUUAUUUUCUUAAGAUUAUACUGGGCCAGCACUUAUGUAGGCAAAUGAAAAACUUUAGGCUUCCAUUUCGAAAACAAUAAGAUUGAACAAGAUCUCAGCUGGGCAAAUAUAAUCAUUACACAGAUUUACUUAUUUAUUCAUUCCCGGGCUGGAAUGUCUCCGUCAGAUUGCACUGCUGGAGAAAUGGUGGGGAGGAAGAUCACUGGGAAUCUCCUUUGCAAUUGUGGACAUGAACGUCCUGGACAGACUGAAACUUUUGUUCAGUGAAGUAUUUUGUUUAAUGUUACAAAACACAGAGUGAUUGGUGAUUAUAAUUCAUUACAAAUGUUCCCAGAGCAUUUCUCACCUGGCUGAGUGUCUGACUGGGAUGAGAAACAGCAAAUUCUCCCUGCAAGGGCAUUUCUUGGGACCAGGGAAUUUCAAAACAGCUUCCAAGGCCGUAGAGCAGUAGAUUCUGUCUGGCAUCCCAGAUGUGCCAAGGGCUGAAGUAUUUAUGAGGGAGAUAAUGAAGUCUUUGGGAAUAAAGAGUAGAUGGGAGGCGCACAGCUGCGGUGCAAACUGAGCAGUUCUGCUUUGUAUAGGCUUGUGGAGGGGAGCUGAUGAAAAAAGAAGUAACAUCAGUGUCACACAUUGGUUUGAACACCCAGGUAAGAGGAUUAAAGGUUUAGGAUUUUUUUUUUCUUCACUCUGUACAGUUUUGUUUCCAGAAUGAUCAUGUUUUAUGAUGUGUUUUCUGAUCAUGCUCCUUUCCCCCGAGGCUCCUGAGCCCCGUUCACCAAAGGCACAGUUCAGGGGGUGAACUGUGACAUGCCAGGAAUGACUUAUCCAUGAGCUGGCCAGGGGAGGCUCUUUGCUUUCCAAAUGUUAAGUGAAACAAAUGUUCCAGAUGAGCUUUGUUACACAGGCCCUGAAAUCUGAACAGAAUAAAAACCCGCUUUUCAUCUCUUUGGAAAGAAACCUUAUUGGAUUUUUCCUCAACUUUGUGUUGUUAUUCAGUUAAAAUCUUCUUCAUCCCUGCGAUGAAAGGUCUUUUUUUUUUUUUUUCUGCUUUGCUGCAUCUUUUAGUUUUUCAUUUAACCUUGUAAAGAAUUGACUAAGCUGAGGUAGUCCAGGAGAAUGAAAUAUGAGCUCUAGACACAGGUUUGCUCUGCUGAUGAGCAACUGAAUCGCUGUGGCCUUUCAGUAACUACCUUGGGUUCAGCAGGAAAGAGAAAAAAGAAAGAGGAAAGAUUUCUACUGCAAACAAACUGGGAAGAAAUUGCUUUGUAGUGUUGGUUCCUUCAGGGCUAAUGAGGUUCUGAGCCAACCUUAGUUUGUUGAUAUAAAAUACAUGAUACCCUCUGCACCUAGAAGGUAGAUGGCCUCAUUAGCAUGACAAAGUGUUAAUUGCCCAGAUUAUUGUAAGAGUAAAGAAGAAGAAUUCUGUCUUUAAGUGUAAAGGCUAAGUUUUCUAUUAAGUAUCUUAUUAAGAUAACAACAAAACUCCUCUUAGGACUCUCUUUUGGGACUCUUUCUCCACACUUCUGUUUGCCCAGGCAGGUCUCUUACACCUUCAUCCCACUGUUAACGGAGUGUGAGGACACACCGACUCUUCCAAAGCUUUUUCCCUUGGAAGUGACCAACAUUCCUGCCUGUUUAAACACAAUUGUCUCAGUCAAUGGAAAUAGUGGGAUGUCUAUGCCCAAGUUCCCUACCUGGAACUACCUGGGGGUUUGUUGUGUUUCCCUUCUGAGGUUUCCUAUCAAAGACAAAUGGGGGGGAAAGUGAGAAAUGGCAGUUGUUAGUCAGUGUUUAUUGGCUCACAAUGUGAGUAUAAACCAGCCCUUCUGGACUGGAAGGAUUUAUCCAGGGGGAACAAGGCUCUGCCUGGGGGUGGGUGAUGCCACAGUCUUUCCAAAGUGAGGUCUCACUGUGAGUUGAGGGUGAUGGUGCCAGGUCAGCAGUGGGUGAGUGAAUGUGGCAGGACAGACCUACACCUGAUAAACACUCUCUGUUCCACAAUUCCCAGUGUCACUGCCAGCGGAAGCCAGCUGGGUUCUUCCCCUUCCAUUGGUUUUUGUCCAAGGGCAUGAAAGGGGCCUGUGCUUCUUCACACUGUGGACUUUUUGUCACCACUUCUUGGUAGCUGAGAGUGCAAAGAGCUGCUGGACAAAGUGCCCUCUGUCAAGUUUGCUUUUAGAGGCUCCUUGGAGUACUUUAUCAGACAAGCACAUAUUCUUUCUCCAGUUCACAGUAGAAAUAUUCCUGCUUCAUCUGCCCACGUUCCUGCUGUAACAGAUGUUCCAGUGGGUGGUGGGCAGGGCUUUGGCAUUGCACAGCAUCAGCUCAGCAGGAAGAGAUGAAUGGGAUCCACCAUUCCCCAUGGCAUUUCCAUUGCUCUCCAGCUAAAACAACCUUGUGACACCUCAGUUAAAGAGGUGGCUUUGAAAAGACUGUUCCCUGCAGCAGCCCCACAUGAAGAUCCUGUGGGUGCAGGGUGCUUGGGAAUAAAACCAGCCAAUCUAUCCACAUGGGGCUGGGAUAUUGGAACAAGAUCACAUGAACCAGUGUGGUGGUAACUGGGAUGGAUGGAUGGAUGGAUGGAUGGUUGGAUGAACAUGGAUGGGUCUUCCGGUGCUGGAUGACUGUACAGAGCUGGUUCUGGUGUUUGCAUAUUCUCAGGCAGAUCUGGGUAAAAAACAGCAGGGAAUGGAGAGAGUAGUAGAGCCAUUGGAAUGCCAAGGCCUGGGGAAAACACUAUUGGUAAGAUUGUUAUUUCCCUCUCUGCCCCUUCACUCAUCUCCAAUAUUUUUUUCCAGCUUAUUUCGUAAAGCCAUUUUGACCCUGUCAGCAGUGGACAGAGGUGGGAUGGAAGUUCUGGGAUGAUGAUAUUCCUUGGAAAUGAAACCUAACAAAGCACACUGCAACUCAGAACCACUGCACGCUGGAACAGGCAAAUGUGGCUUGUGGGCAACUGCCUUUGGGAAGUCAGGGAGCCCCUCUGGAAGCAGAUCUCUGGAUGUCCCAGGACGUGGAAGACUCAACUGCAGUACAACCGGAGCAAUGAGGCUUUAGGAACCAUCUGACCCGCACUGGUAGCACUGAGGGGACCAUCACUGUCAGCAGAAAAAGGGAGGAGGAAGAAGAGUUGAUAUUAUACACCUACAUCGUGGAGUAUUGUGGAGUCCCUACAACGAUACCCACUCUGUUUAUUAGUAACCUUCUAAAGUAUCCUCAUCCUUCUGCAAACCCCAGGAGAGGCUAAUGGGGGGAAAACCGACUUUGGAUUAUGUGGAGCACAAAUGCAAAGCUGUAAUUAAUAAAUUCUGCCCUCACUAAUUGCAGAGGAGGAGUCUGUGCUGCUCCACACCCAGGAUUUACACCCCAUGUGUCUCCUCUUCCCUGGAAGUACAAACCGUGUGGGUUUGUACAAGUAUGGAAUGUUUGUACGAGGGGUAGGAAUUUCAGAUUUGGUUAAUUCUGAGGGUACAGACGAAAGGAUGAAGCCAGAUCUGUGCAGUGUUCCCUGGCUGGGGUCCAUUAGAUCCUACACAGCUUGAGAUUCCCACCAGGGAAGGAAUGGCAGGGUAUCCCCUUUUCCCUUCUCUUGUUAUCUCUAAUCAUGGCUAGGCUUCACGAACAAAGAUUUGUUAUCUCUAAUAAACAGUGUUUUAAUCAACA